rnacentral:rRNA from 1 species
GACGAACGCUGGCGGCGUGCUUAACACAUGCAAGUCGAACGGACAGGCCCUGCUUUUGUGGGUUGCUCGAGUGGCGAACGGGUGAGUAACACGUGAGUAACCUGCCCUUGACUUUGGGAUAACUUCACGAAACUCGGGCUCAUACCGGAUAGGAGCUCCUGCUGCAUGGUGGGCGUUGGAAAGUUUCGGCGGUUGGGGAUGGACUCGCGGCUUAUCCGCUUGUUGGUGGGGUAGUGGCUUACCAAGGCUUUGACGGGUAGCCGGCCUGAGAGGGUGACCGGCCACAUUGGGACUGAGAUACGGCCCAGACUCCUACGGGAGGCAGUAGUGGGGAAUAUUGCACAAUGGGCGGAAGCCUGAUGCAGCAACGCCGCGUGCGGGAUGACGGCCUUCGGGUUGUAAACCGAUUUCGCCUGUGACGAAGCGUGAGUGACGGUAAUGGGUAAAGAAGCACCGGCUAACUACGUG